CUCAGGAUGAACGCUGGCGGCGUGCCUAAUACAUGCAAGUCGAACGCACAGCGAAAGGUGCUUGCACCUUUCAAGUGAGUGGCGAACGGGGUGAGUAACACGUGGAUAACCUACCUCAAGGUUGGGGAUAACAUUUGGAAACAGAUGCUAAUACCGAAUAAAACUUAGUAUCGCAUGAUACCAGGUUAAAAGGCGCUACGGCGUCACCUAGAGAUGGAUCCGCGGUGCAUUAGUUAGUUGGUGGGGUAAAGGCUUACCAAGACAAUGAUGCAUAGCCGAGUUGAGAGACUGAUCGGCCACAUUGGGACUGAGACACGGCCCAAACUCCUACGGGAGGCUGCAGUAGGGAAUCUUCCACAAUGGGCGAAAGCCUGAUGGAGCAACGCCGCGUGUGUGAUGAAGGCUUUCGGGUCGUAAAGCACUGUUGUAUGGGAAGAACAGCUAGAGUAGGGAAUGACUUUAGUUUGACGGUACCAUACCAGAAAGGGACGGCUAAAUACGUG
rnacentral:rRNA from 1 species